GUCAUUGGCUCCAGUCUGGUUUGGGGGUCUACCCUUUCUCAUCAUGUCCUGCCACCCAAUAAAGCCAUUCACAAGUGGCUCCAGCCUGGUUUGGGGGUCUAGCCUUUCUCAUCCUGUCCUGCCACCCAAUAAAAAGAGAAAUUACUAAAGGCCUCUGCAACUGCUUUUACCAGAUGCUGUGAGAGAGUUACAGUAUGCCCUGUGCCGCGGCUUCUGAUUCAGUACAGCAGUUCAACCAGCCCAGCAAACAGGAAAAGCUCAAGGAGGUGUCUUAACUGUCAGCAUCC